UAAAAGAAGUGGAUGAGGAGCUCCCCUGCUCUCAACAGCUAUACUCCAAGGGGAUUCACAAAAAAUAUUUUUAAAAAUGAAUCAUCAAAACCCUACAAAGAAGACAAAUUUGAAUUCUUCCUCCAACUACAGAGGACAGUCUUUUUGAACCUCUGAAGAAACGAGAGAGGAUAAACAGGAAAAAUGGACAGUUAUCCCAAGAGGAACGGAUGAGGAAACUGAGGAUCAGAGAAGAACUCUGAGAUGAUGACUGGAUUUCUGGCAGCCACCUUGUUUCAUGCGAUGUCUUGAGAAAGUAAACCACGCACUAAAACAGUGACAUUGGAAGUUAGAAGGAGCCUGAUUCUGACGACUGGAGCUCUCAUUUAAACACUGGACCUUCUGCUUCAAAUUUCUUUUACAUGAGAAAAAUGAAGAAAUGAACUUGUAACUUGCUAAGAACCACUGUUACUAUUU